rnacentral:lncRNA from 1 species
UCCCUUCUAAGAUGUAGCUAUGAAUCCUAAUUAAGCAAACUUGAGUUAUUUUGCUUCAUUAUGUUAUAAGUCUUUGCAAUUUUUGAAAGUUCCUUAAUAAAGAAUACUUUUGAAUUUUUUGGUUUUAAAUUAAAGAAAUAUAGAAUGUACCAAAAUUCUCAUAACUUUGUGGUUAAACAUGUCAUGUGGAAAAUUAAAUUAAUGAAUUAUCAAAAAAUAAGAACGAAAUAUUUU